rnacentral:misc_RNA from 1 species
GUAUAAGUUUACCGACGCUUUUUUAAGGCGAAGAUAUCGAUUUUACAUUCUAUGAGACAUGCGUCGAUGAAAUGAGACGUAGGGACCCUUUUUACAGGCCCUUACAUUAGGUUCACAAGUGUGUGUGGAUUAAGGGCUCGGGCGUGCACGUGCCCCGAGAGGCCAGCGACAACCCUCGCCUACGAUUCGAUAAUGAUCCUUCCGCAGGUUCACCUACGGAAA